rnacentral:rRNA from 1 species
AUUCCCGUACUUCUUACAAUUGCGAUGGGGGGACGGAGAAGGCUAGGUGGGCCUGGCGACGGUUGUCCAGGUUCAAGUGCGUAGGCUUGAGAGUUAGGUAAAUCCGGCUCUCUUUAAGGCUGAGACACGACGUCGAGCACCUACGGGUGUGAAGUCAUUGAUGCCAUGCUUCCAGGAAAAGCCUCUAAGCUUCAGAUUGUAAGGAAUCGUACCCCAAACCGAC